rnacentral:tRNA from 1 species
GGGCGUGUAGCUCAGUUGGUAGAGCCCCCGCCUUACAAGCGGGUGGUCGGAGGUUCGAGUCCUCUCGCGCCCACCC